rnacentral:rRNA from 1 species
UGAAGAUGCAGUGUACCCGCGGCUAGACGGAAAGACCCCGUGAACCUUUACUACAGCUUGGCACUGAACAUUGACCCUACAUGUGUAGGAUAGGUGGGAGGCUUUGAAGCACGUACGCCAGUAUGUGUGGAGCCGUCCUUGAAAUACCACCCUUGUAGUGUUGAUGUUCUAACGUCGACCCCUUAUCGGGGUUGCGGACAGUGCCUGGUGGGUAGUUUGACUGGGGCGGUCUCCUCCCAAAGAGUAACGGAGGAGCACGAAGGUGGGCUAAUCACGGUUGGACAUCGUGAGGUUA